AUCAAUCUCUAACCAAAUUGAAAUCAUUUUUCUCAAUCAUAAUUUUAAGAGUAAAUAUAUUGUAAUUCUUGUAGUCAACCUCAAAAAGUUUUCAUUGCAAAAACAUCUUCAAAAUAUCAGCUUAAAUCAAACUAAAAUACCAAAAGAAUUAAAUUUGUGUUGAUGAAAGUCAUAGUAAUAUAUAUUAUUACAACAAAGUAUAAAAUAUUUUAAAACUUGUUCGUUAAAUAUUAUUUUUAUUAAAUAACUUAAAAUGAUAUAUAGUUCAAUAAAAUUUAUAUUUUAAUUUGAC
rnacentral:lncRNA from 1 species